GGGGGUAUGGCGGAAUGGUAGACGCUGCGGACUUAAAAUCCGUUGAUCGUGAGAUCGUGCGAGUUCAAGUCUCGCUACCCCCA
rnacentral:tRNA from 1 species